UGUAACCGCCUUAUUAUUAACUCGGAUAAUAUAGAGGUGAUUGAUACCAUGAAGGAUGAAGGACGGUCGGCGGGGGCAAUCUUCGAUGAUUAUUUUCAUUAUGCUUGUGAUUUCAUUAUUACUAGAUUCGAACAUUGUGAUAGAGAAGCAAAAAAAGUUAUUCACAAGCUUGCUAGCUUAGCUAGAUUUUCUCUGGCAUCGGAUUGGUUGGAGGAACCUUUAAAUGAAAUUGUAAUGAUCCUCAUAAACAAUGUAUUGGUUAUUUCUAAUGAAUAA
rnacentral:rRNA from 1 species